CCUCCCAUUUUACUAAAAGAAAUGCAGAACAAACUACACAAAUUUAAAUGUAUGGAUUGCCAUCACAUAUGCAAGGAUGAUUUUAUUCAGUAAUUGUAAAUAACAGACACUAUAUCACAACCAAAAAUGUAAAGCAUACAAAUGAUGAUUUCAAAAAUAUGCAACAUUGCAUACAUAGCCUUUCAACUUGCUUUUCUUAUUUCAGAAGGCUUUUAGCAGUAGUAUAAUGCAUGUUCCAGCAAAAUUCCUCAUAUCCAUGCUAAAAUGUGUUACAUGAUCUGUAACAAUCAAAGAUGAGGCAUAAGAAAAUAACUCUUAAACUUCAAGUGCCAGAUAUGUGCCUCAGAAUGAUUAGACCAUAUUUAACUUAAUUUUGUUAUUAGCAUAAGACUUCUGAACAUGUAUUCAUGCUUUGUUUUUAACCUAAACAUAAAUGCAUGCUGAUAGUGUUUCCACCAUAUUUCCUAGGGUUCCACAAAUUUUACAAUGUUCUGUAUUGUCGAUUCAGCUAAAUUUUUAACAUACUAAAAUCAUCAACAACAUCCCUCAAAGCCUAAGAAAACAUUACAAAAAGAAAAAGAAAAAAGAAAA